AAUUUCUAUAAGGGGGAAAUAUAAAAGGGGAAGAGCUGGUGUUGUAGUCUGAAAACUUGAAUUACAUUUCUUUCAUUACAACUUUAAAUGGGAUAUUUCCUGUAAUGCAGUGAAAAGAAGUGUUAAGACUAUAUUCCUAUGCCAUGCCUCUGGCUUUUAGUUUGACAUUUUCUUCAAAAUAUUAAUUCUUUUUUAAGAUUACAAUAAUUUGGUACCUCUAACCUUAAAAAGAGAUUCCUUAGUUCAUGCCAGACUGAAAUUGCUUCAAUUUUGCAAAAUCAUGAGUGUUACUGUGCUGUUUAAAUGCUGCCAAGAACAGCUUUAGCAUGUACUUGGAAGAGGCCCUUCAAUUCAGCACUCUCAGUUAAGAGUUAAUUGACGCUGUAUUCUGAUGAGUAUUUUUUUUUGGCAGCAGCACCAGCUUUAUGCAGCUCUCCCUCUGUCCAUUUGCACCUCCAUGCUGGUCCAAAUGGGAACUGAUCCAGGCUAAAGAUGAUUGGCAAAGACAGAGGUAGCCUGGAUGGGUUGCCCCAUCCUUCCCUCUCCACAGCCACGAGAGCAGCAGAAGUGCUGGCAGAGCUAGAUUCGUCCAAUGAAUUGAUGUGGCAGAACAAACACUAAAAUAUCUGCCCCUUUUGCUGCUUCAGCCACGUCUGGUACAGCCACCUGGGACAAGAGGGACAACUAAAAUGAGCCUCAGAACAAUUCAAGCCAGGCCACAGAGGCAAGGGCAGGUGAAUUUGAGCCUGUUAGAACAAGCAGUUUACAGUUGGACAAAACAUCACACUUGGGUGCAGCCUUGGAGCACACAGCUUUAAGCAAGCAUGAUUCCCAGCGGGAGAAUCAGAACUGAUGCCAGCCAGGCUUCUUCUCUGGGAAAACAGCAAAGUGAAAGUGGAGCAGAGGCUGGCAGUGCUAUGCAGGAAGGGCUCCUGUCUCUCCAAAAUGCUGCAAAGCAAUGUAAGGAGAAAGUGAGCUUGUUUGUUUGGGUAUUUUUUUUCUCAAUCAGAAAUGGUGUGAGGGUCCCUCCAGGCUCUGCUGCAACUAGCUCAUUUCUGCUGGUGAAGCCUCAGACUUUGCUCUAAACAGGGUGAGGCUGACCUCAAGUGAUGAUGACAAGCCUGUUGAUCUGCUAGAAGGUUGUGAAAACAAUAGUGACAACUGUUGUAAAAACACAGUAACCCAGGAGAACUGUGUGCCAAGUUCAAGCACCGGGAGUGGAAAUAUGCAAUUGCAGCACUAAAUGGAGCACUAAAUAUAACCACUCCCAAGCAAGGAGACCCAUCACGUGCAGGGUUUUAACUUCCCUUUACAACUGCAACUGCUCCAGAAAUGUGGCGCUACUUUCUUUAACUCACAAAGCAGUAGCAUUUGGCAAAAUCUUGAACAGCCAAAACCCCUCACCUCGCUUGCUUCAGCAGCAGUAAAUUAUGUAAGCUGAAUAAGUUAAGUAGAGAUGCAUAACUUGGUAUAUUAAAUGUCCAUGAAAAUUAAAUACCUUAUAUUUUUGUUGGAAUUUAGUGUUAUUAAUUAUAGCUAUCCUGAAACCACCCAUGAGCCGAUAGCUCGUUACUCAUCUCCUUGUAAGCCACAGCCCUCAGCUGUGCUGUUGAUUUCCUUUUCAGAAGAAAGGAGAUCAGUAGCUUUCCCUGUUCUCCAGAAGAUGUCGUGGGUUUGAAGUAUCUCAGCUCUGUGUAGACAGAUCUCUGCUUGCCAUUUCUAGAGUUGUGCUGAUGUCUGCCAGAGAGGAGGAUGGUGCGUCACCAGCACAGACACGGGUGUUUGAAGUCGCGCGUGACGUACGAGACAAGGAGAAAUCACAGAAGUGAAUUAUAUUCCAGGAAGAUAUCCUGGAAUGAGUUAGGUGACAAACCGGAAUGAA